CUCUCUCUCGCUCGCUCGUUCACACAAGGUGAGCUCUACCAAUAUGUUAAAUUCUGCUGUGUGUAGCGUUGCUGCUGUAAUCUGCAAAAGGAGGAGAAAAGAGAUGUUGAAAUGACAAUGAAAGCCACAAUCUUUCGAGGACAUGCACGAAAAAAAAGGUAUCUGAUGCUGUCAUAGAGAUAGACAGAGGGGGGGGGGAGGGGGGCCCAAACCGCCAAAAGGGCUUGUAAUUCAAUUUGGUUUUGUGAGCUGAUAAGAUUGAUUCUGGGUGUGUGGGGGUUGAUCUUUUGGGCUGGUCUGUUUGUUGUAUGUUUUCAGUAAUGAUUGUAACUUUGUUCCUUUGGCCUCCUUCAGUUGUCGCCCUCUGCUUCCGUAACCCUGUAGUUCUUUUUGGGGGGACCUGAAAUGCCCACACUUACUACUUUCAUAAA